UUGCCGCAGAUAGCAGAGCCGUUAAUGGGCAAUGUUAGAAAAGUAAGAUUCUGGCUAUGAAACAAAAGACUGUUUUAGGUUGGAGGAGUAAACAAUAGUAAGAAUAAGGAUUUUUGCAAAAGCCAAGAGCUCCUCCAAAACAAUCUAAAAAAUGUGAAGGUUCCAUGGCUGCCCAUAUAGACAAGACGUCCUUUUACUGGGGCAUUCCCUUCUGAAGGCACCUUUCCUCCAGAAUCAGGCUUCCAUCCAGCAGGAUUUCUGGUGCUCCCACCUCUGGACAAAAGGAUAGUAGAUACAGAUGAUUCGAGAUCCACCAGCUCCAGUUCCUUCCCCAAAAUGAGCCUUCAGAUGGUCGGAAUAAGUAGUGGAGACUGAAAGAAUGAAUAAUGUCAUCAAAUUGGCCUUUUGUCUGACGCUGUUACAGCUGUUUUUCUUGCUCUUAAGCUUUGGUGAUUUGCAUGAUCUUGGAGAACUGACAGAUAUAUAGCAAAACUCUCCUAGAAACCUGGAAAAUAUGGGAAGUGGAAGUCAUGGAACCUUCUCUGUAUAAGUCUGUGAGUGAAGAGGAAUCACUUCAAUUUACAAGGAAAAAAACGGAGACCAAAAAGUUAUCCAAGAACACACAGCCAACUGACCCAGCAUAUUCUGAACACAUAGUCUGUGUUCUUUCUAAGACUUCAUAUCACCUUCCGCAGAGCCUAUCAACCUAAAAAUCCUGUUUAAAGCAGUGCUCUACAAAUGGCAUCACCAUUUGUACCAAAAUGAUAUCACACACCCUGUAUUUAAAAGUCUUCCUUACAGAUAUAUCUUUGCCCAAAAGGGAGUUCUAAUAUUACUCACCAAUGACCCUGUCUUUGUAACAUCUGAAUUGUUUUUUUUCUUACCUUCUCAAUUUUAUUAGACCCAGUUUUAUUUAACUGAGAUCAAAAUAAACUCAACUUUUUAUCAGUUUAUAAUCAUUUUAUUUUAUUAUGAACCUGCAGUAAUGCUUAUUGUAUUUACAGAUCACUAAGUGAAAUUUUAAAAACCAUUUUCCUCCUCUAAUCUCUCCUAUCCUGCUUUCUUAGAAGUACACAAAGCAUUUCAACCACUCCCAAAUUCCCUCUUGAUACCCUUAAUGAUUCUGAAAUAUUUUGUUAUUCCCCAAACACCGCCCUAAAGACAAAUCAUUGGACUCCAGGAUCUUUACACUGCCAAGUUGAGUAGAGUUCAAAUGUUCUAUCUAACCAGACUCUAACUUAACAAAGACACAUAUAGUAGAUGAUGUGUAAGAUAUUCCGAAAAUACCAAGGCAACAGGAAAAAAAAAAAAAAAAAACCUCUGUCAUGAAGAGUUCCUCUCAGAAUGUCUUGUAAUCUGAAAUAAUUAUCUCUAUCAGGACACUGUAACCUGGUCAUAGUACAUAUGUGUAUAUCCUUACAAAAAAUAACAUAAGGCAACUUUGAUUUUACUAAUGUGUAGCUUAAGAUUUCUCACAUCCAAAACAAUUAGUAUUUCAAAACUUAUGGUAAUUUCUCUAAACAUCAGAGCAUGCACAAGGACUUCAAGAGGGAAAAAAAAAUAAAGAAAAUAAUCUUA